rnacentral:rRNA from 1 species
GAUGAACGCUGGCGGCGUGCCUAAUACAUGCAAGUCGAGCGAAGGGACUAGAAGCUUGCUUCUCUUAUGUUAGCGGCGGACGGGUGAGUAACACGUGGAUAACCUACCUUUAAGACUGGGAUAACUUCUGGAAACCAAAGCUAAUACCGGAUGAUAUUUUUAAACAUAUGUUUUAAGAGUGAAAGAUGGUCUUGCUUUCACUUAUGAUUGUAUCCCCGCUGCAUUAGCUAGUUGGUAAGGUAACGGCUUACCAAGGCAACGAUCCAUAGCCGACCUGAGAGGGUGAUAGGCCACACUGGAACUGAGACACGGUCCAGACUCCUACGGGAGGCAGCAGUAGGGAAUCUUCCGCAAUGGGCGAAAGCCUGACGGAGCAACGCCGCGUGAGUGAUGAAGGUCUUCGGAUCGUAAAACUCUGUUAUUAGGGAAGAACAUAUGUGUAAGUAACUGUGCACAUCUUGACGGUACCUAAUCAGAAAGCCACGGCUAACUACGUG